UCGCUCGUCGCCAUCAUGGUGAGUAGUCUCUCCCUCCCGACGGGCUUUUCUUUCCUUCUGUGGUUAGAACCUAGCCUCUCAAUUUGCAGCUAAUUAAGGAGCGCGACUUCAACACUCGUCGUCAUCAAUCCAGGGAUUGUUGUACGCUUUGAUUCGGUGGACUCAUGAUUGAAGCGUUGCAAACCGAAGGGAACCGUGUAGGAUUCGAUGCCCUACACAUGCGUCACAAGGAGCAGAGUUGUUUGCCACCUCUAGCCCUAACUGAGUUAGGGUACCACUUACAUGAACCACAUGAUCAACCCACGCAUGUUUGUAAUUGAUCAUGUGGUUCAUGUGAGUAGUACCCUAACAUGGAAUUUUGGAAUUGGGAUGAUGAUGAAAAGAGGAUUUGAGUUCAUACAUAAAUGUGCUUAGAGCAUUAAACGAAGCUCGAGGCAAACCCACUUCUUUGUGCCGAUGGGAUGAACAUCUGUGCCAAGGGGGUGGCGUGGCAUUUGGUCUUGGCUUCAUCUCGGUCUAAGCUUUGGAAGGUUGCUUAGCGGUUGUUCGAGUUACUUCAUUGGUCAGCCAGUUUCUUAUGAUUUACAUCCAAAUCACUUUCUUGCCCAAAUUUUCUCCAGUGAGGAAUUAUGCAUCAGAUUUUGAAAGGCUGGCAUCAAAUCAAAUUUGAGGAAACAGUAUUCCUUCCAGCAGUUGCAUGUGAGAGCCAUUACAAAAUAGUGAGGACUGUCAUAACCCAUGUCGGAGAAGAUAGUGAUGCCAAUGGAUUCUGCCAGACUUGUGUGACAACUGGUCUUAUCAUUCAACUCUUUAGAACCAAGUGUUGCUUUUUGGUUCAUUUGAACCUUCCUCACUUAGGAGGAUAUCUGAUGCAAAAUUUCUAAUACCAAACAUACAGUAGUCUAACUUUGUGUGGAACGCUAAUCAAAUCAUUAUUAUUCGUUGGUUUGUA